AAUCUAAGGUAACUAAUUUAACCACCCAUCUUCCAAGGAUCGUAGCGUCAUGAAAAUUGGCAGCUGUAUGUAGUUCUGAUGACAAUACAAUAAUAUGGUACUGUCGAACUGAUCUGAUGAUGGAGCUGGAAGAUAUGAACUGGAACUUCAUCGACCUGUACCUAACUAUGUAACGGAAUCUAAGGUAACUAAUUUAACCAUCUUCCAAGGAUCGUAGCGUCAUGAAAAUUGGCAGCUGUAUGUAGUUCUGAUGACAAUACAAUAAUAUGGUACUCCGGAAGAUAUGAACUGGAACUUCAUGAUGGAAUAUCGUAUCAUAGCUGUGUUUGGAUUUGUUAGAAAAGUCUUGUAAUGAACUUUGACCACGAUUAGGUUUCAAGGUCUGAUGAUGAAGCCGGAAGACAGGCACUGGCAUUCCAUGAUGGAAUAUCGUAUCAUAGUCGUGUUU